rnacentral:rRNA from 1 species
CAGCAGCCACGGGAAUACGAAGGGUGCAAGCGUUACUCGGAAUUACUGGGCGUAAAGCGUGCGUAGGUGGUGGUUUAAGUCCGUUGUGAAAGCCCUGGGCUCAACCUGGGAAUUGCAGUGGAUACUGGGUCACUAGAGUGUGGUAGAGGAUAGUGGAACUUCCGGUGUAGCAGUGAAAUGCGUAGAGAUCGGAAGGAACAUCUGUGGCGAAGGCGACUAUCUGGGCCAACACUGACACUGAGGCACGAAAGCGUGGGGAGCAAACAGGAUUAGAUACCCCCGUAGUCCCUGUCUCUUAUAC